GAGCCACUCUUGCUUGAGGGGAUGCACAUGAACCCCCUACCUUUCUAAAGUUACUCAUGUAUAUAUGAUCAUUUUGCACUCUGAACCUCCUGACAUUUUGACUUUGCACAUCCUCAACUCAAUACUCUCUUGCACUGCCUUGCUUCUUUCAGUCUUUGGAGUUCCAAUACAAGAGAUUAACCGUCCAGUAGCUCUCAAAUCAAGCUUCGUAUAUAAUGAUUGUUGUACUUUUUGACUUUUCUUCCUU
rnacentral:lncRNA from 1 species